rnacentral:rRNA from 1 species
AGAGUUUGAUCCUGGCUCAGGAUGAACGCUAGCGGCAGGCUUAAUACAUGCAAGUCGAACGGUAACAGGCGGUAGCAAUACUGCGCUGACGAGUGGCGCACGGGUGCGUAACACGUAUGCAACCUACCCUUUACAGGGGCAUAACCCUGAGAAAUCGGGGCUAAUACUCCAUGGCAUUGCGAUAAGGCAUCUUGUUGCAAUUAAAGAUUUAUCGGUAAAGGAUGGGCAUGCGCCCCAUUAGUUGGUUGGUGAGGUAACGGCUCACCAAGACUGUGAUGGGUAGGGGUUCUGAGAGGAUUAUCCCCCACACUGGUACUGAGACACGGACCAGACUCCUACGGGAGGCAGCAGUAAGGAAUAUUGGGCAAUGGGUGAGAGCCUGACCCAGCCAUGCCGCGUGCAGGAAGACGGCCUUAUGGGUUGUAAACUGCUUUUGUAUGGGACUAACCGCCCUUACGUGUAGGGGUCUGCAUGUACCAUACGAAUAAGCAUCGGCUAACUCCGUGCCAGCAGCCGCGGUAAUACGGAGGAUGCGAGCGUUAUCCGGAAUUAUUGGGUUUAAAGGGUGCGUAGGCUGGUAUUUAAGUCAGUGGUGAAAUAUUGCGGCUCAACCGUGAGGCUGCCAUUGAAACUGGAUACCUUGAGUGUAUACGAAGUGGGCGGAAUGAGGAGUGUAGCGGUGAAAUGCAUAGAUAUUCCUCAGAACACCGAUAGCGAAGGCAGCUCACUAGGAUACAACUGACGCUGAGGCACGAAAGCGUGGGUAGCAAACAGGAUUAGAUACCCUGGUAGUCCACGCCGUAAACGAUGAUCACUAGCUGUAUGCGAUACGCUGUAUGUGGCUAAGCGAAAGCGAUAAGUGAUCCACCUGGGGAGUACGUCGGCAACGAUGAAACUCAAAGGAAUUGACGGGGGCCCGCACAAGCGGAGGAGCAUGUGGUUUAAUUCGAUGAUACGCGAGGAACCUUUACCUGGGCUUGAACGUAUGGUGCAUGGAGGUGAAAGCCUUCUUUCCUUCGGGACUCCAUACGAGGUGCUGCAUGGCUGUCGUCAGCUCGUGCCGUGAGGUGUUAGGUUAAGUCCUGCAACGAGCGCAACCCCUGUCUUUAGUUGCCAGCACGUAAUGGUGGGGACUCUAGAGAGACUGCCUGCGCAAGCAGAGAGGAAGGUGGGGAUGACGUCAAGUCAGCACGGCCCUUACGUCCAGGGCUACACACGUGCUACAAUGGUCGGUACAGAGGGCAGCUUGUUGGUGACAACUGGCCAAUCUCGAAAGCCGGCCCAAGUUCGGAUCGAAGUCUGCAACUCGACUUCGUGAAGCUGGAUUCGCUAGUAAUCGCAUAUCAGCAACGAUGCGGUGAAUACGUUCCCGGGCCUUGUACACACCGCCCGUCAAGCCAUGGGAGUUAGGGGUACCUGAAGUCGACGACCGUCAAAGGAGUCGCCUAGGGUAAACCUGAUGACUGGGGCUAAGUCGUAACAAGGUAGCCGU